rnacentral:rRNA from 1 species
GACGAACGCUGGCGGCGUGCCUAAUACAUGCAAGUAGAACGCUGAAGAGAGGAGCUUCCUCUUCUUGGAUGGGUUGCGAACGGGUGAGUAACGCGUAGGUAACCUGCCUUGUAGCGGGGGAUAACUAUUGGAAACGAUAGCUAAUACCGCAUAACAAUGGAUGACACAUGUCAUUUAUUUGAAAGGGGCAAUUGCUCCACUACAAGAUGGACCUGCGUUGUAUUAGCUAGUAGGUGAGGUAAUGGCUCACCUAGGCGACGAUACAUAGCCGACCUGAGAGGGUGAUCGGCCACACUGGGACUGAGACACGGCCCAGACUCCUACGGGAGGCAGCAGUAGGGAAUCUUCGGCAAUGGGGGCAACCCUGACCGAGCAACGCCGCGUGAGUGAAGAAGGGUUUCGGAUCGUAAAGCUCUGUUGUAAGUCAAGAACGGGUGUGAGAGUGGAAAGUUCACACUGUGACGGUAGCUGACCAGAAAGGGACGGCUAACUACGUG